rnacentral:rRNA from 1 species
AGUGAACGCUGGCGGUAGGCCUAACACAUGCAAGUCGAACGGCAGCACAGUAAGAGCUUGCUCUUACGGGUGGCGAGUGGCGGACGGGUGAGGAAUACAUCGGAAUCUACUUUUUCGUGGGGGAUAACGUAGGGAAACUUACGCUAAUACCGCAUACGACCUACGGGUGAAAGCAGGGGAUCUUCGGACCUUGCGCGAUUGAAUGAGCCGAUGUUGGAUUAGCUAGUUGGCGGGGUAAAGGCCCACCAAGGCGACGAUCCGUAGCUGGUCUGAGAGGAUGAUCAGCCACACGGGAACUGAGACACGGUCCAGACUCCUACGGGAGGCAGCAGUGGGGAAUAUUGGACAAUAGGCGCAAGCCUGAUCCAGCCAUACCGCGUGGGUGAAGAAGGCCUUCGGGUUGUAAAGCCCUUUUGUUGGGAAAGAAAAGCAGCAGGUUAAUACCCCGCUGUUCUGACGGUACCCAAAGAAUAAGCACCGGCUAACUUCGUG